AUGGCAACUUAUGUUAUGCACUUUUGGAAAAGAUUUGCUUCGUUUUGUGUUUUUUUUAUCUGAGUCAAUUGUCUUAUCUUGCAAUCAUUAAACUGGUUUUUUUUCUUUUUUUUUGUGAAAACCGAGGAACGUCACACAUCCGAUGUCUAAUGUAUGAUAUGAUUACACUUUGACUUUUUUCCUUCUUGACAUCAGUGCACACAUGCUUAAAUUUAUUGGCAAGAGGAUGAUUUUGAAGAGAAUGAGAGUUGCUUAGAAUGGUUUGGAAGGUUGGGACAAGCAUGUGGGCACUACAAUCCUCAAAGGAGAUGCAAUAUGUGAGUGUCAAGACGAAACAUGAUAUACCAAAAAUUUUGCCCUGGUUUUGUGUUUGGGAAAAUGAGCUGGGGUUUUGAUCCAUGAAAAUUGUGGUGAAACAAAAUCAAGUGAGACUUGCAAAGUUGCCUCGGUCGUGGGAUUAUGGAUUGAUGAAAAAUUUGUGUGAGACUCACAAAGCUGCCCCAGUUUAUUUUAUCGUGGUAUGGGAUGAUGAAAAACUCGUGUGAGGUUCACAAAGUUGCCUUAGUUUUCUUUGGCCCGGGGUUCUGUUUGGAAGAGGUAGUGGCAUGACAAGGAUCGACCAAAAGGAUGGUCCUAACUAGUUUGAUUUUCUUUUGCAUGCUUUUGGCUAGGUUACAGGGAGAUCCCCUCUUCUUGAG
rnacentral:lncRNA from 1 species